ACUGGGAGUCUCCUUAGUGAAAACAUCCGAAGCUCAUCAAAGGGGGUGCACCGUUCCUGGAGGUACUGCAAUACCAGGUCGAUGCGUGGAGUGGACGGAGCAAGCCCCUAUUCCAUCUCCCUAUUCCAAAAAUCCCUUUAAUAUAUGGUCUACAUUUUGAAAAUCCAUUUACUGUUUUGCAACAGCUCUGUGUCUUAUGGACUCUGUUCUAAAAACUCGACAACCUUGUUCCAAGAAAAAUGCUUGUAGACGAUUGAGAAACUGUAAUAGGUUGUUUCCGGAUUUAAAUAGUACAAGAUUACAGUACCAUGAGGGACAAAAAUGCUGACAGCACCUGGUAUUCCCAGGCAGUCUCCCAUCCAAGGACUAACCAGGCCUGACCUUGCUUAGCUUCCGAGACCGGGCGUAUUGUAAUGUGUAUAUGAUGCACGUAAACACUUCACUGUACCGUUUACACCCUGUAUCCUGUGCAUGUGACGAAUAAACGUUGAUGUGAUGAUCAACUCACCAUU